rnacentral:tRNA from 1 species
GGGAGUGUGGUGAAAUUGGUAGCCGCAGCAGACUCAAAAUCUGCCGUCCGCAAGGACAUGCCGGUUCGAGUCCGGCCACUCCCACCA